GUUGCUGAGAGGCGGGGCUCCUCGACUGCUCCGGAGGUAGCGGCCGCGGGGAGGAGAGCCAUGAACCAGGCAGUCAAGACCGAGUAUUUGUCUGAGGGACCCAUUUCACAUCCCUGGGAAGUAUAGGAGACGCCAAAGGCAGACCUAAGCAACAGCAGUUCAAUGAAGUGAAAAGUUUAUUUGAAUAAACAGAAGGUGCACAGAAGUCUAGCAGCCGAGGAAACCGAACCCCAGCAAAAUUACUUGUCAAAAGUAACACAGCAAGACAGAGCAGGGGCUGGUUUUACAGCUCUUUAAAGCACUGCACAGGACCAGACAACAAGUUUUUAGAAAUGAUGCCAGAGCAUUAGAAGCCAGAAUAAAGAUAAAUGAAGAAUUCAAAAAUAAUAAAAGUGAAACUUCUCCUAAGAAAAUAGAAGAGCUAAUGAAAAUAGGUUCUGAUGUUGAAUUGCUACUCAGAACAUCUGUUAUACAAGGUAUUCACACUGGCCACAAUACACUGAAACUGGUCCCUAGGAAAGACCUUCUUAUAGAAAAUGUGCCGUAUUGUGACACACCAACUCAGAAGCAAUGAGUUUUCUAGGAUAAAAUAAGUCUUUGCACUUUUUAACUUUAAAAUCUAUAACACUGGCAAAGUCCUGGAAAUGUAGACAUCUUUCUCUGAACUGGCAUAUUGAAGAUGAAUGAAUUACAGAAUAACUUCAUAUUUAAAUUUCAUGUUGAAAGGUCAUUACUGAGAACUGAAGAACAUAAUUACGUAUUUCUAAAGGAAAUUAGAUAAGAAAACAUUUCAUUUUCAUUGAAAAUCAAAUGCCAUAAAGCAAAAUAAAUGCUUAGGGAGAUAUAUUCUCUUCUCUCUGACCUUGAUGAAUAUUUGGUCUUGCCAUAGCUAUUUGAGAAUGUGGUGUUUUUAUAAGUUGGUGAGUUUUUUUCCCAUAUGAAAUGCAAUUAGUAGAUUUAAAUUAUUAGAUUAAACUGAUAUUUAGUCCUGAAAAAUAUUAAAUUGUUCCAAAAAAAAUCACAGUGUGUGCCAGCUCUCUGCAGAAGUGGCCUUUGUUUUCUAAAGCACUGGGAUUUUUUCUGCAGCUAAUGUGUAAUUGUACAGUUUCUUUUUGGAGAUACAGAGUAUCUCUGUAUUCUUAUAAAAACAUUUUUUAUCAGUCUUCUGAAAAUAGUUGAAUAAAAUAUUAAAAUCACCUAGGGUCACUAUGGAAUAAAGAAAUCCAAAUUAAAGUGGAAAUAGUGACCCUUGAUUAAACUAUUUAAUAUGGCCGUAGUAGAAUUAGCUAUAUUUAGACGAAGUUAGACUUUCUUGUGAAAUGUAAUAGAUGGCUACAUUCUCUUUGUUUUAAUUAAUGAAACUUAAAUGUCCUCUCUUCUUCCACAUGUCCUGUCCUUGACAAGAUGGGCAGUAUCACAAAGGGCCAGGCAUUCUAUCAUCUAACACUAGGAACUGUAAAAUCCUGUUUAAUAUUUUUCUUGUUUCUCUUUUAUCUGUAUAUCUUUGCCAUUCUGUUUUCUCAGUUAAUAGUAUGUUUUCUCCCAUUCACUGAUAAAUUAUCUCAUUUGAUGAUGAUA